rnacentral:rRNA from 1 species
AUUGAACGCUGGCGGUACGCUUAACACAUGCAAGUCGAGCGGAAACGACAUAUCAGAAGCUUCGGUGGAAGAUAUGGGCGUCGAGCGGCGGACGGGUGAGUAACGCGUAGGGAUCUACCUUAAAGUUGGGGACAACUCGGGGAAACUCGAGCUAAUACCGGAUGUGCUCUUCGGAGUAAAGGUGCCUUAGGGUGCCGCUUUAAGAUGAACCUGCGUUCGAUUAGCUAGUUGGUGAGGUAAAGGCUCACCAAGGCGACGAUCGAUAGCUGGACUGAGAGGUUGGCCAGCCACACUGGGACUGAGACACGGCCCAG